rnacentral:rRNA from 1 species
GACAGAGGAUGCAAGCGUUAUCCGGAAUGAUUGGGCGUAAAGAGCUCGUAGGCGGUCUGUCACGUCGGCUGUGAAAACCCGAGGCUCAACCUCGGGCCUGCAGUCGAUACGGGCAAACUAGAGUGUUGCAGGGGAGACUGGAAUUCCUGGUGUAGCGGUGAAAUGCGCAGAUAUCAGGAGGAACACCGGUGGCGAAGGCGGGACUCUGGGCCGAUACUGACGCUGGAGGAGCGAAAGCGUGGGGAGCAAACAGG